UAAGGAAUAUUGCUCAAUGGGAGAAAUCCUGAAGCAGCAACGCCGCGUGGAGGAUGAAGGGUUUUUAACUUGUAAACUCCUGUAAAGAAGGAAAAAAUUCCCAUUAGAUGGGAAAUGAUGGUACUUCUGGAGUAAGCCCCGGCUAACUACGUGCCAGCAGCCGCGGUAAUACGUAGGGGGCAAGCGUUGUCCGGAUUUACUGGGUGUAAAGGGUGCUCAGGCGGAUUUGUAAGUCAGAGGUGAAAUCUCACAGCUUAACUGUGAAACUGCCUUUGAUACUGCAAGCCUAGAGUAUGGAAGAGAGUGAUGGAAUAUCUGGUGUAGCAGUGAAAUGCGUAGAUAUCAGAUAGAACACCAAUGGCGAAGGCAGUCACUUGGUCCAUAACUGACGCUAAAGCACGAAAGCGUGGGUAGCAAACAGGAUUAGAUACCCUGGUAGUCCACGCCCUAAACGAUGAAUACUAGAUGUUGGCUUCGCAUGAAGUCAGUAUCUGAGCUAACGCAUUAAGUAUUCCACCCGGGAAGUACGAUCGCAAGGUUGAAACUCAAAUGAAUUGACGGGGUCAUAGCUG
rnacentral:rRNA from 1 species